UGAACCUGCGGAAGGAUCAUUAUUGUACAACAGGGGGUGCUGGGGCUGUCGCUGACCUUUUAGGUUGUGCACGCCUCGAGCAUUCUCACUCUCAAUCCACCUCACCCUUUGUGCAUCACCGCGUGGGCUCCCUUUAAUGGUUUGCUCGAUUCAAAAAAGGGGGGCCUGCGUUUUUACACAUACACCCUUUUUUUUAAUGUGAUAGUGUAGAAUGUCGAAUCAAUACAACUUUCAACAACGGAUCUCUUGGCUCUCGCAUCGAUGAAGAACGCAGCGAAAUGCGAUACGUAAUGUGAAUUGCAGAAUUCAGUGAAUCAUCGAAUCUUUGAACGCACCUUGCGCCCCUUGGCAUUCCGAGGGGCACGCCCGUUUGAGUGUCGUGAAAAUCCUCAACCUUCUCCGUUUCUCCUUGAUCGGGGAAGGCUUGGACUUUGGAGGCUUCUGCUGGCCUCUCUUGAAGCCAGCUCCUCUUAAAUGCAUUAGCGGGGGUUUCCUUUUGCUGAUCCUCGACGUGAUAAGAUCUUUUCUACGUUCGGGGUGUUGGCUUUGAGACCCGCUUCUAAUGGUCUCGUCGAGACACUUGGCCGAGUUUUGCCCUUUAGUUGGGGGGACUUUGGCCCAUAAUGAACCAUAUGACCUGAGCUGAACUUAAGCAUAUCAAUAAGCGGAGGA
rnacentral:sRNA from 1 species